ACUGGAAGCUGAAUGAACCUCUGGAGCAGGCAAACGCAGUCUCUUUUGCCUGUACUGUCAGCCUUCCUAGAGUAAAGCGGAGGUCUCUGUCUGGUUUAGCCAAGCAAACUGAUCCAGAUCGUUCCCCUUUGCACAUG